rnacentral:lncRNA from 1 species
UUUUUUUUUUUUUUUUUGAGACACGGUCUCUCGGCUCACUGUAGCCUUGACCUCCCAGGCUCAAGCAAUCCUCUUGCUUCAGCCUCCUGAGUAGCUGGGACCACAGCAUGUGCCACCACGCCUGGCUAAUUGUGUGUGUUUGUGUGUCUGUAUGUGUGUGUGUGUGUGUUUUCAGUAGCUAUGGGGUUUUGCCAUGUUGCCCAGGCUGGUCUCAAACCCCUGAGCUCAAGCAAUUCGCUCACCUUGGCCUCCCAAAGUGCUGGGAUUACAGGUGUGGGCCACCAUGCCUGACCCCAAGCAGUUUUCUUAUAGCGAGCCCUGCUGCACACAUGCAUGAUCUCCAUGUUGCAGGCAGUGUUGAGCAUGGCUGGGAGUGCAAGCUUGGACUCCGGUUGCCUGGGUGUGGAUCCACCGUUUAUCAGCUGUGUGAUCUGAGCUAAGUUCUUGAACCUGAAUCCUCCAUUAACUCCAGUUUCCUUACUGGUAAAAUGGAGAUUGUAAUGAUACUAGGCUCAUUGGAUUGCCACAAAGUCUUCACGAGAUAAUGGAUAAAAAGCUCAGAGACAGAGCCUGCUAUGUAGUAAGUGCUUAACAAAAGUCCAUUACAGGCUGGGGGUGGUGGCUCUCACCUGUAAUUCCAACACUUUGGGAGGCCGAGACAGGCGGAUCACCUGAGGUCAGAGGUUCGAGACCAGGCUGGCCAACAUGGCAAAACCCCGUCUCUACUAAAAAUACAAAAAUUAGCCAGGUGUCUUGGUGCGUGCCUUGUAAUCCCAGCUACUUGGGAGGCUGAGGCAGGGAGAAUCACUUGAACCCGGGAGGCGGAGGUUGCAGAGAGCGGAGAUCGAAUGACUGCACUCCAGCCUGGGGGACAGAGUGAGACUCCAUCUCAAAACAACAACAACAACAACAACAACAACAAAGUCUGGCCAGGCACAAUGGCUCACGUCUGUAAUCCCAGCACUUUGGGAGGCCAAAGCAGGCAGAUCACGAGGUCAAGAGAUAGAGACCAGCCUGGCCAACAUGGUGAAAUCCUGUCUCUACUAAAAAUACAAAAAUUAGCUGGGUGUGGUGGUGCGUGCCUGUAGUCCCAGCUACUCGGGAGGCUGAGGCAGGAGAAUCACUUGAACCCAGGAGGUGUAGGUUACAGUGAGGUUACAGUGAGCCAAGAUCAUGCCACUGCACUCCAGCCUCGCAACAGAGAAAGUCUCUAUCUCAAGAAAAAAAAAAAAGGUCGUUGCUAUGUCAGCUCUUGUUGUUGGUGUUUUUUUUUGUUUUUGUUUUUGUUUUUUUUGAGACUAAGUCUCGAUCUGUCACCCAGGCUGGAGUGUAGUGGUGUGAUCUUGGUUCACUGCAACCUCUGCCUCCUGGAUUCAAGCGAUUCUUCCUGCCUCAGCCUCCCUCCCGACUAGCUGGGAUUAUAGGCAUGUGCCACCAUGUCCAGCUAAUUUUUGUAUUUUUAGUAGAGACGGUGCUUCACCAUGUUGAGCUGGCUGGUCUCAAACU